rnacentral:rRNA from 1 species
CGUAAAGCGUGCGUAGGCGGCCAAUUAAGUCAAAUGUGAAAUCCCCGAGCUUAACUUGGGAAUUGCAUUCGAUACUGGUUGGCUAGAGUAUGGGAGAGGAUGGUAGAAUUCCAGGUGUAGCGGUGAAAUGCGUAGAGAUCUGGAGGAAUACCGAUGGCGAAGGCAGCCAUCUGGCCUAAUACUGACGCUGAGGUACGAAAGCAUGGGGAGCAAACAGGAUUAGAUACCCUGGUAGUCCAUGCCGUAAACGAUGUCUACUAGCCGUUGGGGCCCUUGAGGCUUUAGUGGCGCAGCUAACGCGAUAAGUAGACCGCCUGGGGAGUACGGUCGCAAGACUAAGACUCAAAUGAAUUGACGGGGGCCCGCACAAGCGGUGGAGCAUGUGGUUUAAUUCGAUGCAACGCGAAGAACCUUACCUGGCCUUGACAUACAGAGAACUUUCCAGAGAUGGAUUGGUGCCUUCGGGAACUCUGAUACAGGUGCUGCAUGGCUGUCGUCAGCUCGUGUCGUGAGAUGUUGGGUUAAGUCCCGCAACGAGCGCAACCCUUUUCCUUAUUUGCCAGCACUUCGGGUGGGAACUUUAAGGAUACUGCCAGUGACAAACCGGAGGAAGGCGGGGACGACGUCAAGUCAUCAUGGCCCUUACGGCCAGGGCUACACACGUGCUACAAUGGUCGGUACAAAGGGUUGCUACACAGCGAUGUGAUGCUAAUCUCAAAAAGCCGAUCGUAGUCCGGAUUGGAGUCUGCAACUCGACUCCAUGAAGUCGGAAUCGCUAGUA